GGCGAACGGGUGAGUAACACGUGGGUGAUCUGCCCUGCACUUCGGGAUAAGCCUGGGAAACUGGGUCUAAUACCGGAUAGGAGCCAUUUUAGUGUGAUGGUUGGAAAGUUUUUCGGUGUAGGAUGAGCUCGCGGCCUAUCAGCUCGUUGGUGGGGUAAUGGCCUACCAAGGCGGCGACGGGUAGCCGGCCUGAGAGGGUGUACGGCCACAUUGGGACUGAGAUACGGCCCAG
rnacentral:rRNA from 1 species